AGAGUUUGAUCAUGGCUCAGGGUUAACGCUGGCGGCGUGCCUAACACAUGCAAGUCGAACGGUUCUAAGCGCGAGCUUAGGAUAGUGGCGAACGGGUGAGUAAAAGGUAGGAAUCUACCCCUUGGACGGAGAUAGCUACUGGAAACGGUAGGUAAACUUCGAUAAGCCCGAGAGGGGAAAGUGGUGAGACAGCCGAGGGAUGAGCCUACUCUCCAUCAGGUAGUUGGUGAGAUAAAAGCUUACCAAGCCGAUGACGGAUAACCGGUGUGAGAGCAUGAACGGUCACAAGGGCACUGAGAGACGGGCCCUACUCCUACGGGAGGCAGCAGUGGGGAAUCUUGGACAAUGGGCGAAAGCCUGAUCCAGCGACGCCGCGUGGAGGAAGAAGUCCUUCGGGAUGUAAACUCCUGAACUAGCCGAAUAAAAGGCCUGUGGACACACAGGAGAAGAAAGUAGGCUAGGAAAAGUCCCGGCUAACUACGUGCCAGCAGCCGCGGUAAGACGUAGGGGGCAAGCGUUACCCGGAAUUACUGGGCGUAAAGGGGGCGUAGGCGGUAAAAGAAGUCAUCUGUGAAAACCUAUUGCUCAACGAUAGGCUAGCGGAUGAAACUGAAUUACUUGAGGGCACCAGAGGUAGACGGAAUUACCCGAGUAGGGGUGAAAUCCGCAGAUACGGGUAGGAACGCCGGUGGAGAAGUCGGUCUACUGGGGUGCACCAGACGCUGAGGCCCGAAAGCUAGGGGAGCAAACCGGAUUAGAUACCCGGGUAGUCCUAGCCGUAAACGAUGCUCACUAGGUGUAGGGAGUGAUAAACUCUCUGUGCUGAAGCGAACGCGCUAAGUGAGCCGCCUGGGGAGUACGUCCGCAAGGAUGAAACUCAAAUGAAUUGACGA
rnacentral:rRNA from 1 species